rnacentral:rRNA from 1 species
GAUACGGAGGUAGAGCACUGAAUGUCCUAGGGGGUAUUGCACCUACCGAAGACUAUCAAACUCCGAAUGCCGUCAUCUUAUACUUGGGAGUCAGACUGUGGGUGAUAAGAUUCAUAGUCGAAAGGGCAACAGCCCAGAUCGUCAGCUAAGGUCCCUAAAUGUAAGUUAAGUGGUAAAGGAUGUGGGAUUGCACAGACAACCAGGAUGUUGGCUUAGAAGCAGCCACUCAUUCAAAGAGUGCGUAAUAGCUCACUGGUCGAGUGAUCCUGCGCCGAAGAUUUCCGGGGCUAAAACUUACUACCGAAGCUACGGCAUCAGUAAUGAUGGGUAGGGGAGCUUCCCAUACGGGUUGAAGCAUGACCGUAAGGACAUGUGGACAGUAUGGGAGUGAGAAUGUUGGCAUGAGUAGCGAGAUGUGGGUGAGAAUCCCACAGGCCGUAAACCCAAGGUUUCCAGGGGAAGGUUCGUCCGCCCUGGGUUAGUCGGGACCUAAGCUGAGGCCGAAAGGCGUAGGUGAUGGACAACAGGUUGAUAUUCCUGUACUACCGAUAACCGUUUGAGAGAAGGGAUGACACAGUAGGAUAAGCUAAGCACACUGUUGGUUAUGUGUGCCCAAGCAUUGAGGCAGUCAAAGUAGGCAAAUCCGCUUUGAUAAUGCUGGGAUGUGAUGGGGAGCGAAAUUUAGUAGCGAAGUAGCUGAUUUCACACUGUCAAGAAAAGUCUCUAUCGAGGUUAAAGGUACCCGUACCGCAAACCGACACAGGUGGGUGAGGAGAGUAUCCUAAGGCCAGCGAGAGAACUGUUGUUAAGGAACUCGGCAAAAUGACCCCGUAACUUAGGGAUAAGGGGUGCCACCAUCAGGUGGCCGCAGAGAAUAGGCCCAAGCGACUGUUUACCAAAAACAUAGGUUUCUGCUAAGUCGCAAGACGAUGUAUAGGAGCUGACGCCUGCCCGGUGCUGGAAGGUUAAGGGGAUCUGUUAGAGCAAUCGAAGCAGUGAACUUAAGCCCCAGUAAACGGCGGCCGUAACUAUAACGGUCCUAAGGUAGCGAAAUUCCUUGUCGGGUAAGUUCCGACCCGCACGAAAGGCGUAACGAUUUGGGCACUGUCUCAACAACAGACUCGGUGAAAUUGUAAUUCCGGUGAAGAUGCCGGAUACCUGCGACAGGACGGAAAGACCCCAUGGAGCUUUACUGUAGCUUGACAUUGGGUCUUGGUACUACAUGUACAGGAUAGGUGGGAGGCUUUGAAACCAGGACGCCAGUUUUGGCGGAGCCAUCCUUGGGAUACCACCCUUGUAGUACUGGGACUCUAACCAUAGGCCAUGAAUCUGGUCUUGGGACACUGUCAGGUGGGCAGUUUGACUGGGGCGGUCGCCUCCCAAAAGGUAACGGAGGCGCUCAAAGGUUCUCUCAGUACGGUCGGAAAUCGUACGUAGAGUGUAAAGGCAAAAGAGAGCUUGAUUGCAAGACAUACAGGUCGAGCAAGGAUGAAAAUCGGACUUAGUGAUCCGGUGGUUCUGCGUGGAAGGGCCAUCGCUCAACGGAUAAAAGCUACCCUGGGGAUAACAGGCUUAUCUCCCCCAAGAGUCCACAUCGACGGGGAGGUUUGGCACCUCGAUGUCGGCUCAUCACAUCCUGGGGCUGUAGUAGGUCCCAAGGGUUGGGCUGUUCGCCCAUUAAAGUGGUACGCGAGCUGGGUUCAGAACGUCGUG